UCCUUUGAGAUCCCAUCUGUCAAGUGGAGCCCCUCUCGUGAUUGCUGUCAUGGCCAUGAGUUUCACCACAAAGCUUGGGCCAUAACUGGAGCUCACUGAUGGCAGCCUGCGAGCUGGCUACGUUUCUCUUAAAAUAUAAUCGCCUGCCUGUUGCUCAGGGUGUCAUCGGCCUAUGAGUUAAGGUGCCUCCAACAUGAAAUUCCUGAGAAUUCAUGGAGUCAUGUUAUGAAGUUCAACAAAACAAUGGUACCAACUGAGUAAAAAACGGGCACGUUAUACCUUAAGGGAAAAUACACAUGAAAACAAGCCCCCAUUUCUACUGACCCAAAAGGAUAAUGAGGAUUCAUUACCAUCAUUACCUCAUCAUUAAAAGGGCUGUUCUCCAAUGCUGUUCAGCUUCAUUAGAGGGAUCUUAGCCACUGUGAUGCGCAGUAAAGUCACGUUUCUUUUUGAACUUUUGUGACUCAAAUUGUAACAAUCUUAAAAAAAACUUCCCCUAAAUUAUCCAGCCCGGAGCAGGUUUAGGUGGACUUGAGAGUCCUUACUGGAGUUUACUUUGAAACAAAAGACGUGAGACUCCAUGCUGAGGGCCACCUACACUCAGUCAUGCUCAGACCCACCCACACCGGUCAGUUCUUCAGAAAAACUCCUCUUUUACAGGAGUGUCGGGCCCGGGGGGCAGUGAGAAAUUGUCUGUCCUGGCUCUCAAGCUGUGCACAGCCUGUCCUGGGUCAGGAGCCAGCCCUGCGUUUUGUCCUGGGGCUGCCUUCGUUUGCGCUGCACUUUCCAUACUAACGGCAACGACAGGUCCAGAGUGCGGUGCCCAGGAGGGCUCUGGGGACAGAAGAGGUGCUGCGCUCUCUGGGACGGAGUCGGUGUGUUUUCGGUGGGGACAGGACAACGGGCAAGAUAAACACAGCUCUGUCGGCCCGGGGGUCACGAGGAAGCCUUGACCCUGCCUGGAUCGCAGAAUCUUGGUCAGUCUGAGCCAUAUUGACUCCACUCCCCGCUUUGCCUGUGAUGGGACCAAGGUCAGCAUGAGAUACAGUCCUGGGCCCCGAGACAGGGGGCUCAGAGUCAGCGAGGAGAGCUCCCAGAUAAACGACCUUAACCACCUGACUCAUCAUGUUCCCAAGGCUAAUGUCUGAGGGUUUUGUGCUUUAAGUCACUCAUUACGCAGUCGGUCAGGAAAGGCCAAUGGAGAUGCCCAAGGUCUCUGACAUUUGCUAGCUGCUGAAAAGCCCGGAGUGGCCCUGCACCCCCCGCCCCCGGCCUUCCUCGCAUGAGGAAUUAAAAAUCUCUAUUAUUAUGGUACUUUUUGUCGGGACUCCGAUAACUAGUAAAACAAAAGGUAUCUGCUGUAGACACGCACUUUUCUAGUUAGAUUCUGACUCCUGCAAAAGGUUUUGGGCUCAAGGCCGGGUCUCUCUCCAGGUUCAAGUGGGUAUUAGCAAAUGUAAAGGUUUCUGUCCUCAAAAUGACAUUUCCCCCCCCUUGUUGUACUGGAAGGGAUUGAAAGAGAAUUGAAAAGGAAAUCCGAUUUCUCACCGUGUGAUUCUAAGUUCUAGAGUCUGUUGUGGGGAUCACGUGAAGUCACACAGCACCCCACCCGUGGGGAGUCCCCACGCUCCGGGGAACGCUGUUGUAAUCGGAGCGAACAGAAUUGAUACUUUUCAUGAUGACAAGCGCGUAUGAAAUGUUUAGGUCAAAACGGAAAGUUUCGGAGGGUAUGAAGUAUCGCCCUACUCCCCGUGACUUUAGUAAAUUGUGGUUUCGUACUUAGAUGUGUCCACACACACACACACACACACACACAGACACCCACAAGCUCGUGGACUCCUCUGGUAUGUUAGCGCUGAAGUUCAAGUCAAGAAAUCGAUAUAUUCUUAAUCAUCAGCUUGUUUUCGGAAACAGGGUUUCCCCAUGGAGUAGCAAAUGUUCGUCAAUGAAAUUCAUCGCGACAGGAGCCUUUGUUGUGGCUGUUUGUGAGGUAACAGGGUGGUGUGGGCGCAAACACAGUCCUGGCAAAGACCUCGGAUUCCCGCUGAUGUUGCCUGGGAAGUUAAGCUGGACGCCCCUUGAUUUUGGUUUUCUUGACUAAAUCCCACGGUGCUCCAAGAGCCUUCCGCUCCUGUGCUCCCUCUCACACUCUGCCCGACAAUGGCAGACCUUUCCUGAUGUUCAGCAUUUUGUGCCACAUAGAUGACUUUUGCCUUAUUUACUGUGAUGGAACAUUUGCCGUAAUGCAACGUAUAAUCAUAGCAGUGCUACUUAAAAUUAUCGUCAGACACGUUUAUUGAACCUAAGCACAUACAUUUCAUACGGAAAGGACGUCUUCAUUGCAAAUGGGAAACCACGAUCACUUGCUGUAAGAGGAAGGCAGCUAUGCAUCAUACACAGCAAACCGUUGUAUUUAGAUGCUAAUGUCCACCUAAGACUUGAAGUCUGAGUCCUGCUUCCUCUCCGUGGGUUAGGGAGGGUAAUAAAUGUCAGGCUGAUGUUAGAGACUCAGGAGUAGCAGACGGAGACUCUGAUGUGAUUAGGACGACCCGGCGGGUACCGGAAGAACGACCCAGCGGGUACACGGCCAUGUUGUUAACCGUGGCAUUAAAUGUCAGUUACCGAAGCUUCAGUUUUGGCAUCCUCAGGCCGUCUGGCGCAUCAGGUGAGACCUCAAGAGUGUGCACUCCCCACGUUGUUUCUGAUACCGCUGGAUGCCCGCAGGGGUUCUCUCUUCUCCCAGCAGACACCGUGCCCUGUGGAACUGGAUGCCUAAGAUUGAGAUAUGAGGACUUGAUGCCUGGAGCUGCGGCAGCCAUCCUGAUCCUAUGAGAGGCUGCUGCUGGGGAGAUCUGGGACUAGUCACGAGUGUAUGCAGACAGGUGAAAGAAAGUGGGUUUUCCCGGGGAGCAUAACACAUGUCCUCACGGUCCCGCACUGUUCACACUAAAGAGCUUUAUACCUCUUGUUCCUGUUGGCUCCCCUUCAGCCCUGAGGCGCGGGUCCUAUUCCUGUCACCUGUCCCACUGUGGAGGGCAAGAAGGACAUGACUUUCCGAGCCACUGUGGCGAUGGGAGCCCUGUCUACAUGAGGCCGGGCACACAGUCGCAUGCACUCUCUACAGUAUGACCCGGGGGACCGCCAGCCAUCGGCCACGGUGCUGGGAGAACCGGACACCAGGGCCAGACCAGCUGGGGCAACACCCAGAUGACCCUGGACAAGCUUCUUCACUCUCUGCCUGUGGGUUUAUUCACCUGUACGUGAAAAAUCACUGAGAUAAGCUGUGAGGACGCAUCCUGG